rnacentral:rRNA from 1 species
CCCGCUGAACUUAAGCAUAUCAAUAAGCGGAGGAAAAGAAACCAACUGGGAUUGCCUCAGUAACGGCGAGUGAAGCGGCAAGAGCUCAAAUUUGAAAUCUGAGGCCUUUGGCUUCCGAGUUGUAAUUUGAAGAGGAUGCUACGGUUGUGGCCUUGGUCUAAGUUCCUUGGGACAGGAUGUCGUAGAGGGUGAGAAUCCCGUACACGGCUAAAGGCUUACUUCUAUGUGUAGCUCCUUCGAAGAGUCGAGUUGUUUGGGAAUGCAGCUCAAAAUGGGUGGUAAAUUUCAUCUAAAGCUAAAUAUUGGCGAGAGACCGAUAGCGCACAAGUAGAGUGAUCGAAAGAUGAAAAGCACUUUGAAAAGAGAGUUAAACAGUACGUGAAAUUGUUGAAAGGGAAGCGCUUGCAAUCAGACUUGCUUUCAGUUGAUCAAUGUUCCUUUUGGUUCAUGCACUCUUCUGUUUGCAGGCCAGCAUCAGUUAGGGUGGUAGGUUAAAGGCAUCAGGAAUGUGGCUUUCUUCGGGGAGUGUUAUAACCUGUUGUGUAAUACUAUCGUUCUGACUGAGGUCCGCGGUUCGUCCUAGGAUGUUGGCUUAAUGGUUGUAAGCGACCCGUCUUGAAACACGG